rnacentral:lncRNA from 1 species
CUGAGGUUGAGAAGCAAGGAGCAACCUGCCCAGGCUUGCACUCAUGCUCUGGAAGCAAAGUGCAAAAUGCCUCACCCAUUGCUCUGCUAGUACAAGGGACAGGAAAUGGCCUUGUGAACAAGGGAAAAAAAUGCAGCAAUUCUGUCUUCAUACUUCGCUACUAAGAAAUCCCAGCAGAUGAAGAAGAUGGCUAGAACAGUAAUGAUGAAGAGUGGCAAGGCUCUCUGAAAAUUCAAGCUGCAGGCUGCAAUAACCACUGCCAAGUAAACUGCCACAGAAACAAAAGUAUACAUGUCAUUUAUGUCUUGUCUCUUUAUAGAGAGAAUCAAAUAUUAAAUUCAGUUAUAAGGGCAUGGGUUAAAGUCAGGCCUG